AGUGAACGCUGGCGGUAGGCCUAACACAUGCAAGUCGAACGGCAGCACAGGAGAGCUUGCUCUCUGGGUGGCGAGUGGCGGACGGGUGAGGAAUACAUCGGAAUCUGCCCAGUCGUGGGGGAUAACGUAGGGAAACUUACGCUAAUACCGCAUACGACCUUCGGGUGAAAGAGGGGGAUCGCAAGACCUCUCGCGAUUGGAUGAGCCGAUGUCGGAUUAGCUAGUUGGCGGGGUAAUGGCCCACCAAGGCGACGAUCCGUAGCUGGUCUGAGAGGAUGAUCAGCCACACUGGAACUGAGACACGGUCCAGACUCCUACGGGAGGCAGCAGUGGGGAAUAUUGGACAAUGGGCGCAAGCCUGAUCCAGCCAUACCGCGUGGGUGAAGAAGGCCUUCGGGUUGUAAAGCCCUUUUGUUGGGAAAGAAAUCUUUCAGGCUAAUACCCUGGGAGGAUGACGGUACCCAAAGAAUAAGCACCGGCUAACUUCGUGC
rnacentral:rRNA from 1 species